UACAGAGGGGGCAAGCGUUGUUCGGAAUUACUGGGCGUAAAGGGCGCGUAGGCGGCCUUCUAAGUCGAACGUGAAAUCCCCGGGCUCAACCCGGGAACUGCGUCCGAUACUGGAAGGCUUGAAUCCGGGAGAGGGAUGCGGAAUUCCCAGUGUAGAGGUGAAAUUCGUAGAUAUUGGGAAGAACACCAGUGGCGAAGGCGGCUAUCUGGACCGGUACUGACGCUGAGGCGCGAAAGCGUGGGGAGCAAACAGG
rnacentral:rRNA from 1 species